rnacentral:rRNA from 1 species
GACGAACGCUGGCGGCGUGCUCAACACAUGCAAGUCGAACGGAAAGGCCCUGCUUUUGUGGGGUGCUCGAGUGGCGAACGGGUGAGUAACACGUGAGUAACCUGCCCUUGACUUUGGGAUAACUUCAGGAAACUGGGGCUAAUACCGGAUAGGAGCUCCUGCUGCAUGGUGGGGGUUGGAAAGUUUCGGCGGUUGGGGAUGGACUCGCGGCUUAUCAGCUUGUUGGUGGGGUAGUGGCUUACCAAGGCUUUGACGGGUAGCCGGCCUGAGAGGGUGACCGGCCACAUUGGGACUGAGAUACGGCCCAGACUCCUACGGGAGGCAGCAGUGGGGAAUAUUGCACAAUGGGCGGAAGCCUGAUGCAGCAACGCCGCGUGCGGGAUGACGGCCUUCGGGUUGUAAACCGCUUUCGCCUGUGACGAAGCGUGAGUGACGGUAAUGGGUGAAGAAGCACCGGCUAACUACGUGCCAGCAGCCGCGGUGAUACGUAGGGUGCGAGCGUUGUCCGGAUUUAUUGGGCGUAAAGGGCUCGUAGGUGGUUGAUCGCGUCGGAAGUGUAAUCUUGGGGCUUAACCCUGAGCGUGCUUUCGAUACGGGUUGACUUGAGGAAGGUAGGGGAGAAUGGAAUUCCUGGUGGAGCGGUGGAAUGCGCAGAUAUCAGGAGGAACACCAGUGGCGAAGGCGGUUCUCUGGGCCUUUCUUGACGCUGAGGAGCGAAAGCGUGGGGAGCGAACAGGCUUAGAUACCCUGGUAGUCCACGCUGUAAACGGUGGGUACUAGGUGUGGGGUCCAUUCCACGGGUUCCGUGCCGUAGCUAACGCUUUAAGUACCCCGCCUGGGGAGUACGGCCGCAAGGCUAAAACUCAAAGGAAUUGACGGGGCCCCGCACAAGCGGCGGAGCAUGCGGAUUAAUUCGAUGCAACGCGUAGAACCUUACCUGGGUUUGACAUGGAUCGGGAGUGCUCAGAGAUGGGUGUGCCUCUUUUGGGGUCGGUUCACAGGUGGUGCAUGCCUGUCGUCAGCUCGUGUCGUGAGAUGUUGGGUUAAGUCCCGCAACGAGCGCAACCCUUGUUCACUGUUGCCAGCACGUUAUGGUGGGGACUCAGUGGAGACCGCCGGGGUCAACUCGGAGGAAGGUGGGGAUGACGUCAAGUCCUCAUGCCCCUUAUGUCCAGGGCUUCACGCAUGCUACAAUGGCUGGUACAGAGAGUGGCGAGCCUGUGAGGGUGAGCGAAUCUCGGAAAGCCGGUCUCAGUUCGGAUUGGGGUCUGCAACUCGACCUCAUGAAGUCGGAGUCGCUAGUAAUCGCAGAUCAGCAACGCUGCGGUGAAUACGUUCCCGGG